rnacentral:tRNA from 1 species
GGGCGAUUGGCUCAGCUGGUUAGAGCGCACGGUUCACAUCCGUGAGGUCACUGGUUCGAAUCCAGUAUCGCCCA